GGGUUGUGUUGAGUUUCAAGUGUCCUCCUGAAACCUCGGUCUUCACGGGCGAGGCAACAGCUAUCUUAGAAGCUCUUCUCUACACUGAGUCCCACAAAUUAAAUAAAACUAUCAUUUUAUCAGAUUCGGCCAGCUGUUUACAAGCUAUCAUCGCUUAUCCAUUUAAAUCUAAAUCAAAAUUUCCAAUAAUUCUCAAAAUUAGAGAAACUCUUCAUCGCUGUGUGACUCAGGGUAUUGAGGUAGCUAUUGCCUGGAUUCCCGGACACAGUGGCAUCAUUGGUAAUGAGUGUGCAGAUUCCUUCGCUAAGGAAGCCGUUAGCUUGGGCCUGGAUACUCAUUACCAAAACUUCGCUCAUGACCUUGCCUCGCUCGCAGGUCCGAGGCUAGAUAGAUCCUGGAAAGUGUCCUGGGACACUUCCAGGAAUCUCAAAGGUAUUAACCCUGUAAAUAUAUCUAAAUUACCGUAAAGACAGCUAUAAUAUACAUGUGUGUUCCUUAUUACUAUUGAAUUUGGCGGAAUUUGCUGUGUCAGUCACACACGGCAUAGUGCCACAACCAAAGAUUGAUUGAUU